AUAGGACUCACCCGGAAGUGAAUAUUAAUAACAUCCGCUUGUCAUCUGAAGCCAUACUAGCACUCGUCCUUGCUUGUCGGCACGUCACUGUGGCGGAUUGACAAGGUCCGAUGCCAUUUUUGUUAUGGGCAAAACCACAUCGACUUCUACAAGCGUUUGAACAUUCCUAUACAUCACCUCUUAACGUAAGCUCGCUCCGGUGCCCUACGCAUUUUCAUCUUUAUAGUGGGCAGAAAGCCAAGAGCCUAACUGUCCUACACAGAGGACGCCCUCAAAUCUCUUACUUUAGUAAUAAGCUCCUCCUUCAAGAGGACAUGUGUAUCCCACUCCCGCCCCUGGAACAUUCCCGCUCUGGGAAAAAGGCUGAGUUCACGUCUCCACUUUCAGACUACGGAAGGACUUGAGGGUCAAACUGAGUCGUCUCUGGUCAGUUGCCGAGUGAUCCCGGAACAGCUUUUUAGGCACGACAGGAUUUGGCCCCAACCUUCUUGGAAUACCCGAGACUGGAGCCUCAUUGAACGCUGCCGAAGGUUUGAACUCUGGUAGACUUCAAGGUUCUCCAAAUUGGCCAACCCUCAUGAUGAACUCUUUGAGUGCAAGAGGCUGGAGGCAAUGUCAGGAGAAGGCAAGAUGCUUGGAUUCUGGUGUUAAAAGAGGAAGAAGUGGAAUUAUUCAGAAUACAUGCACACUUACUUGUUUCAACUGAUCCCAUCUUCAUAGGUUGCUUUCCAACUUUGGAACUGCUUCUUACUUUGGCUUUGUCUGUUUAUAUUUCCCUUAACUUUCUGGCCAUAAAAUAUUUGAGUCAGCAGGGAAAAAAAAAAAAAAAAACUCCUGGUCCUCAAAUCAAAAUAUAAAUUUAUUUUGGGAGAACAGUUCACUAAUUAUGGAGGUUCACUAACCAGAAUGUGAGUUCAUGAGGAUAUUACUAGAGGAAAAAGGAAACUCAUUUUCUUUGACCCUUUCCUUGAUUACAAGCUAGCACAACUAAGACUACUAAACAGUCUAAUAUGCUUCUAAAAGUCACUUUAUGGAGCAAAAACUAGAAGAAUAUAUACCACAUUAUUAGUAAUUAUCUCUGGUUUUCUGUAUUUUCCAAGUUUAUUUUCAUGAGAAACAUUUAAUUGGAGAAAUAUUCUAUCAGUGAAACCUGACUAUCAUGUUUCUACUGCCUAUAAUCAGCCUGUAAUUGUUUGCUUAUUUCCCUUGUAAAGUUGAGGUAAUUUGGGGGGUCAGGAUUUUUUUUCCCACUUCUGUACUCCACAUGCGAAGAACACACAGAAAUAUUUACAUUUGUCAAAUGAUUGGAUUUAUAUUUUGAGCAAUGACCUUAAUGUAAGCCAAUCAUUUUGGAUAUCCAUUGCCAAACGGAGGGGAUGAUUAAAUGCUUCACUUUUUGUUCCUUGGUGCCAGUUUAAUAAUACACUAAGCAGUCCCAUUUACAGACCAAAAAUGAGUUUUAUUCCAUUUCCCUUUCCCUAACCAUUCUUCCAGAAUUUCCCUGUAACAGGACAUGAUGGUGACAACACAUAAGUGUUGGAAUACUUUGUAUUUCAACCCCAAAUUUUCUCAAUGUGUAUGCUGUUGUGAUAAAGUGUCUGUGUAAACAGCUAUCACAUAUGAACUCCUGUGCUUUAGUCAUCCUGCACCCUGAUUAUCAAGUGCUAUUAGCAGCCACCAUCUUGCCAGGGGUAUCUGGUAUCUGCUAACGAUCAAGGGACUUUGAAAAUUAAUUUUUAAAUUAACUUCCAGUUUGCAGUGUUGGAGGUAGGAAAUUUUAGAGAAAGAUAUACUUUAGUACCUUGGCUCAUGGAGAGAAAUUGUCCUUAAAGUAAAAUGGAAUAAAAUGUUGAUAUGAGAUGUGGAAAAAAUACAGAAAUAGGAACUAUUCCUGCUUUUCAAUAUUUGAACCUUUAUAAUGCUACUAGGUUCCAUGCCACAUCUUAAACCUCAAAAAUUUACAGUUGUGAUAUACAUAUGCAGAAUAUUAUUUAGCCUAAAAAGAGAACAAAAUUCCAGUACAGCUGGGUGUGAACACAACUGUAAUCCUACUGGCUCCGGAGGCCAAGGCAAGAGGAUUGUGAAUUCAAAGCCAGCCUCAGCAAAAGCAAGGUGCUAAGCAACUCAGAUCCUGCCUCUAAAUAAAAAGUAGAAAACAGGGCUGAGGUUGUGGGUCAGUGGUUGAGUACCAAAAAAUCCCCAGCACAAAAAAAAAAAAAAAAAAAAUCCAGUACAUGCUUAAAUAUGGAUGAACCUUAAAAACAUGUUGGUGAAUUAAACCAGACACAAAAAGAUAAAUAUUGUAUCAUUCCACUUUUAUGAGGUAUCUACACUAGGUACAAUAGGUAAAUACAGAGAGUAGAAAAGAGGUUGUCAGGAGUUGGAGGAAAAUGGGAGUGGGGAGUUGUUAUAGUUUAAUGGGUAUAGAGUUUCUAUUCAGAAUGGUGAAAGGAUUCUGGAAAUGAUGGUGUGGUUUGCACAACAAUGUGAAUGUACUUAAUGCUACUGAAUUAUACACCUAAAAAUGGCUAAAAUGGUAAAUUUUGUUAUAUGUAUUCUUCCACAUUAUAAGCAUAUUUAACAUACUAUAAA